rnacentral:rRNA from 1 species
UGCAAAGAACUUUGAAGAGAGAGUUCAAGAGGGCGUGAAACUGCUUAGAAGCAAACGGAUGGACCUGACGGUGAGUCGAUGGGAUUCAGCUUAGUGCGCUGCCACCACCUAGAACAUCGGAUCGCUCGACUGGUUUCGGGGUAAGGUUGCAGUCGGUGAGUGCAUUUCCCAUCGAUGCGCACCGAGACCUGUGACCGCACUGGAAUCAAAAGAACAAUUGCCGGCCAUUGUUUUGGUGUCCCGCUGUUCUUGUAGACCAAGUUGCCGUUACAGGAGCUCGAAUGGACCCGCUCGGCUCAUGGGCACUUUGAACCUUUCCAAUCGAAGUGUUGUUCCUUGCUCGCAAGGUUCGGCGACACCUGGAUCGGUGAUAGGUGUUGGAUGAGCAGGUCCUAUUUCCCGGUGUUUCGUCAGUCACCCAUCCGACCCGUCUUGAAACACGGACCAAGGAGUCUAACAUGUGCGCGAGUCAUUGGGUUGCAAAACCUAAAGGCGAAAUGAAAGUGAAGUCCAAUUCGGUUGGAUGAUAUGGGACCCCUCGGGUGCACCAUAGUCCCAUCCUUACUGCAUCGUCAGUCGGGUGGAGAUAGAGCGUACACGUUGGGACCCGAAAGAUGGUGAACUAUGCCUGAGCAGGAUGAAGCCAGAGGAAACUCUGGUGGAGGUCCAUAGCGAUUCUGACGUGCAAAUCGAUCGUCGGACUUGG